UGGGGAAUCGUCCAAUGGCAAGACCGCGGAUUCUGAUUCCGUUAAUCUAGGUUCGAAUCCUAGUUCCCCAGCCA
rnacentral:tRNA from 1 species